rnacentral:rRNA from 1 species
UACGGAGGAUGCGGGCGUUAUCCGGAUUUAUUGGGUUUAAAGGGUGCGUAGGCGGGAUGCCAAGUCAGCGGUAAAAAUGCGGUGCUCAACGCCGUCGAGCCGUUGAAACUGGCGUUCUUGAGUGGGCGAGAAGUAUGCGGAAUGCGUGGUGUAGCGGUGAAAUGCAUAGAUAUCACGCAGAACUCCGAUUGCGAAGGCGGCAUACCGGCGCCCUACUGACGCUGAGGCACGAAAGCGUGGGUAUCGAACAGG